rnacentral:rRNA from 1 species
AGUGAACGCUGGCGGUAGGCCUAACACAUGCAAGUCGAACGGCAGCACAGUAAGAUCUUGCUCUUACGGGUGGCGAGUGGCGGACGGGUGAGGAAUACAUCGGAAUCUACUUUUUCGUGGGUGAUAACGUAGGGAAACUUACGCUAAUACCGCAUACGACCUACGGGUGAAAUCAGGGGAUCUUCGGACCUUGCGCGAUUGAAUGAGCCGAUGUCGGAUUAGCUAGUUGGCUGGGUAAAGGCCCACCAAGGCGACGAUCCGUAGCUGGUCUGAGAGGAUGAUCAGCCACACUGGAACUGAGACACGGUCCAGACUCCUACGGGAGGCAGCAGUGGGGAAUAUUGGACAAUGGGCGAAAGCCUGACGCAGCAAUACCGCGUGGGUGAAGAAGGCCUUCGGGUUGUAAAGCCCUUUUGUUGGGAAAGAAAAGCAGCAGGUUAAUACACCGAUGUUCUGACGGUACCCAAAGAAUAAGCACCGGCUAACUUCGUG